AAGAGCUGGAAGAACUUGCUAGAGGACGAGACAAACUGGCAUCCUUAACUUCAGGCACACUCAUGCAAGUGAAGACAGACAAAAAAGUCCCAGCUAAUUGUUGCAAUUGGGACUGUGCAUAGCAUGUGGGAGAUCAACAGCCUCCGCAAGACUACAUUCUUUUUAAAGGAUACUUGUGGGGAAUUCUUAAUGCUUGCAAUGAUUUGAGUUUGAUCGUCUCCUCCACAAAUGCAAAAUUCAUCCUGAAACUUUGCUGCUUUACCCUGGGUUUUUCUCAAGGGCAGUGAGCCUUGAACUGGAUUUGUUCUCAACCAAUUCCAUCACUUGGUUGACCUCCUGUGUAAUCCUUCUUUCGCUGACCCGUUUUUUUUUUUUGCUUUUUUUCUUUUUCUUUUUUUUGGGAAUUAUUAUCUCCACUGAUUAUCUGAAAAACUCAGAAUCACGAGCCGUAUAGUCCUUGCUCGUUCAUCAAGUACUGACCGGUGACAAAUGAAAAUGAUCAUAAUCUGCGCAACAUAUAUUAUUACCUCUGAUAUUAAUUAUAAGACUUUAUUUGUAAACUACAAA